rnacentral:lncRNA from 1 species
UUUGUGUCUUAGGGUACCUUCCAACACAAUGAUGAGGAUUUGGUUUUUAAUUGCAUGAUUGUUAAAGAAAGCUACAAACAUGGGUGGAAGUUUGAUAUGCUCUUUGGUUAAUACUGGGUUAUAGUUGACAUUUACAAAUUCACAUGUAAUCGAAAAAGAAGAAAAAAUCACUUUUUGUAACAUGCUUGAAGGAAGGAAUUCAAACUAACGCUACAACCCUGAGAGGCUCGAGCCUAUACUUUAUUUGGAGAGUUAUUAAUUCGUGAAUUUCUUUUUUUCUAAAGUCGUUGCAUGAUCUCAUUAUUCUUUGCUUGGUUGCUACUUAGAAUGCGCUUUAUCAUUUUAGUUCCAAAUACUAGAACUCAUGCUCGUUUCAUUCAAAGCUUAAAAUUGAGUGCAUAAAAUAUAACAAGAUGAAGUUGUUUAGUAGUUACCACCAGAGCCAAAAAGCCUUCAUCCCAUGCAUUUGUUUUGUAGGUUUAACCUCUUUGAGCCUUAGUUAGCCUAUUUUCGUUGUUAGCCACAUUACCCCGACCAAGCCUAGAAUAGGACUAUCCAUACCCUUGUUCUUAAAGUAUAGUGGAGCAUGACUUAGAGGGAAUUCCUUUUGAUCAAACAUAUUGCAGAAAUCAAGUGUGGGGGAAGGUUAUGUAGAAAAAAAAGAAAAAAAAACGUGAAAAAGAAUAAAAAGUGGAAAAAGAAAGGAAAAGAGUUCUAAAUAAGUGAGAAUGAACUCACAAGUAUUGGUUGUUGAAGAAAGGGUCCAAAAGUUUGAAUCUGGCCCUAAGUAUUGUGUGAAUCGUCCCUUUUUGUUUAAAGUGGAGUUUUGCAUUCAAAAGUGAAUUCUAAGUGUCAAUUUCAUUACUUUGCUUACUAUUGCUUUAAGAACCUUUGUUUAUCCUUGACCUUUCUUUGUUAGCCAAUACCCUUAGCCCUAUUACAACCCUUAGACUUCUAUCUUAGGUGUUAUGUGUUUCAAUAAUGUGGAGUUUGGGAUUGGUUUGAGCAUAUGGUAUCCCAGGUUCUUGUGUCUAAGUAGUGACAUUCCGUUCAUGAGAUUAUAUAUAUACACAUGCAUUAAUAAUUCCAGAAAGUGCUUUCUUUGAUUAUAACUUAUGUGAGUGUUAGUCUUCAUGUUUACAUCAAUCUUCUCACAUAUACCUAGUAUAGGGAGUGUAGUUAGAAAAUCUGUGUGAAAAUAGAGAGUAUCUCUAGUGAGGAAUUGAGGGAAUUCUCUAAGGCAUGUUACUACAUUCAAAACAUUUUUUUAAAUGGAUUAAAUGCAAGCUAGUGAGUGGUGACUGUGAUUAAGUGUGUGCUCGAGGGUAAGGAUAACUAAAAUCUAUGUGAGUAGUGAUUUUUAAUAUGUCAUGUUUCAUUGGAAAUCCCUAAGGCAAAUGUUGGAAGGUCUAGGUUAUGUUUUGUUUGUUUUGUUUUGCUCGAGGACUAGCAAAAGCUAAGUCUGGGGGAAUUUGAUAGGAGUAUAUUUAUGCGACUUAGUUAGCUUGUUUUCUUGCAUUUUCAUAGUUAGUUUGUGUUUAUUAUAGUGAUUUAAGCUACUUUUGUAUGUUUGUAGGUCUAAUUGGCAAAGUUGGCAAGAAAAUGCAUUUUGAAGCAUUUUAGAGCAAUUUUGUGCUGGAUUGGAUUGGAUUGCAUGCAUGUGGAGCACAAGGAAUGGACGUUUUUUAAGGUCAAGUGAAGCUAGGAACGUGCUAAAGAGAUGGAGAAAUUAGUUCAAGUCUUGGAAGAUGAGUAAUCAGCUGCAAAGGGACCUAAAUCCCUUCUAGAAGGCCUAUCCCUUCUCUUAUACAUGUGCCGCACCAACCUUGCUAGAAGCCCUAGAAAGGUGGCGCAUCUCCUCUUCUAGAAGGUCAGAAAUCAGCCACAACACACUCUUUCAGGAAGUCCUAAAAGAGUGCCGCACCUUAUACCUUCUAGAAACCCUAAAAUAUGCCAAACCCUAGUCUUUUUCCCUCUUGGAUUGAGGCCCAAGCCUUGUGCCGCAAACCCUAUGACUUUUCCUUUCAGAAAUUGUGAAAACCCUAGCCUAUAAAUAUAUGUUUUCAGCCACAAUUUCGCAGCACCACCCCCCAUAUAAUUCUACGUCACAGAAACACAUUUUGCUGCAAUAUUGGAGAAGAAUAAGCCUUGUUGUGGCUUCCAUUGGAGUAGGAGGACCUUGUGCCGCAAGCCACCUACAACCAUUGGAGUUCUAAGAGUUCUUUCUUCCCUCGUUUCGUUUCCAUGUUUAUUUUAUUUUGCUUUUCAAUAAUUAUGAACAUGAGGAACUAAUUCUUUUUUAGUUAGAGGUGAAUUUGAAGCCAUGGACAUAUGUUUAAUAUGAAUUGAUUACUUUCACUUAUUGUUUCGUAAAACAUGAAUGUGAUUUACUUAUCUGCGUUAUUGAGAACCUAUUCUUGUGUGUUUAUUAAGGAUGCAUACUUAGUUUGCAUGUAGGGAUUUGAUGCUAAAUUAUAAGGGAAUUUCACCUAAUCGUUAUGAACUUAUAAUUAAAAGUAGUGGAGAUUGCUAGUCACAAUCGUGUUAAGUAAAUUCUUGGCAAGAGUAUCAUGCAGUUCAUAGUUAUGAUUGCCUUGUCAAUGCUUAUGAUUUUCAUAGAACAUAAUGAUCUUUGAUAUGUAUCUCUAUCAUGCUGUUCAUAUAGGGAAUUUGAUAAAAAUAAUUUGAUUACGAUGCGUUGUCCAUUCAAUUCAAUGAAUUUAGGGAAAUCUGAAAGUUAAUUAGUGCAUUCACAAUUAAUUUGGGGCAUUGUCAUUCAUGGUUUAAAGAAACAACACUGGAAAUCGAUUUAUGUUGCAUAUGGUUCAUGUGUGAAGAAGGAUCAUCUAGCUAAGUUUUCAUCAUACAAAUCACCUAAUUUACUUUGUUUUGCAAUCUGUUUAGUUUAGUUAAAUUUCGUCCAAAUCAAUCCCCCCCCUUUAAUUAAGUGUGUUAGAUUAGUUAGAAAUGUGUUCAAAUAUGUCCAAUUUAGUGUUUUGAGUCUUAAUAGUCUUAAAUUCGUCCAAUUAACUCUCUAGGGUCAAUUUUGAGUCAAUUUCACUUAGUUUUGCUGUUUUGAGUAAUUUGAAUUAGUUUUAAGUCUUAAGUGUUUAGUUUUGUGUUUCUAAGUCUAGUUUUGUGUUUUUGAGUCAUAUUUGUGUUGAUUAGCAUCCCUAGUUAAUCCCCAGUCUAGAACGAUCCAUACUUUCAUAUACUACAACUAUCUUAAUAGGGUUUUAAUUUGUGUGUUAGUUAAAUUUCACAUCAGAUCACCUUUGGGUUCUGUAUAAUUAGUAUUCGUCCUGUUGGACUGCACUUAGGCGACUUAUGCUCUGGUCGUGCAAUCACACUGUUGGAAAUAUGCCCUGAAAGUCAAU